rnacentral:rRNA from 1 species
GACGAACGCUGGCGGCGUGCUUAACACAUGCAAGUCGAGCGAUGAGAUCCCUUCGGGGAAGGAUUAGCGGCGAACGGGUGAGGAACACGUGAAGAAUCUGCCUUCAACUCUGGGAUAACACCGGGAAACCGGUGCUAAUACCGGAUAUGAGCCUUGAUCGCAUGAUCGGGGCUGGAAAGUUUUUCGGUUGAAGAUGACUUCGCGGCCUAUCAGCUUGUUGGUGAGGUAACGGCUCACCAAGGCGACGACGGGUAGCCGGCCUGAGAGGGCGACCGGCCACACUGGGACUGAGACACGGCCCAGACUCCUACGGGAGGCAGCAGUGGGGAAUAUUGGGCAAUGGACGAAAGUCUGACCCAGCGACGCCGCGUGCGGGAUGAAGGCCUUCGGGUUGUAAACCGCUUUCAGCGGGGAAGAAGCGAAAGUGACGGUACCUGCAGAAGAAGCACCGGCUAACUAUGU